GCCGCUGCCGCCGCUGCCCGUCCUCUGGUCACCGUGCAGUCUCUUCCAUCUCUGAAUGAUAUGGCCACCGACUCUGCCGCCACACUGGCUCUUCCCGACGUGAUGAAGGCCUCUAUCCGGCCUGAUAUCGUUAAUUUUGUCCACUCCAAUAUUUCCAAGAACAGCCGCCAGCCCUACGCUGUUUCCAAGCGCGCCGGUCACCAGACCUCUGCCGAGUCUUGGGGUACCGGGCGUGCCGUUUCCCGUAUCCCUCGUGUCCCUGGUGGUGGUACUCAUCGUGCUGGCCAGGGUGCUUUCGGUAACAUGUGUCGUGGCGGGCGCAUGUUCGCUCCGACUAAGAUCUGGCGUCGCUGGCACCGUAGGAUCAAUGUGAAUCAGAAGAGAUAUGCUGUGGUUUCUGCUAUUGCUGCCUCUGCUAUUCCUUCUCUGGUUGUCGCUAGGGGUCAUAGGGUGGAAUCUGUACCUGAAAUGCCCUUGGUCAUUAGCGAUUCUGCAGAGAGCAUCGAAAAAACUUCAGCUGCAAUCAAGGUGUUAAAGGAGAUCGGUGCUUAUCCCGACGCCGAGAAGGCCAAGGACAGUCACGCUAUCCGUCCAGGAAAGGGUAAAAUGAGGAACCGCCGGUACAUUUCUCGCAAAGGCCCACUGAUUGUGUACGGAACUGAAGGAGCUAAGCUGGUUAAAGCGUUCAGGAACAUUCCAGGAGUGGAGGUGGCCAAUGUGGACCGUCUCAAUCUGCUGAAGCUAGCUCCUGGUGGUCAUCUAGGUCGUUUUGUUAUCUGGACAAAGUCUGCUUUCGAGAAGCUAGACUCUAUCUAUGGGUCAUUUGAGAAGUCAUCGGCGACGAAGAAGGGCUAUGUGCUGCCUAGGGCUAAGAUGGUGAAUGCUGACCUUGCUAGAAUCAUCAACUCUGAUGAGGUGCAGUCUGUAGUGAAGCCGAUCAUGAAGGAGGUGAAGAGGGCUCCAUUGAAGAAGAACCCUCUCAAGAACUUAAACGUUAUGCUUAAGCUAAACCCUUAUGCUAAGACUGCUAGGCGGAUGUCGCUUUUAGCUGAAGCCCAGCGCGUAAAGGCUAAGAAGGAGAAGCUGGACAAGAAGAGGAAGACUGUUACAAAGGAGGAGGCUGCUGCAAUCAAGUCUGCAGGCAAAGCAUGGUACCACACAAUGAUUUCAGAUAGUGACUACACCGAGUUUGAGAACUUCUCUAAAUGGCUCAAUGUUACCCAGUAAUCUAGUUUUCAGCAUUUUAAAUUUUUUUGGACAAUAUUUUGUUCUCCGUUUUGUUUUAUUAACUAGAUUUUGUUAUCUGUUUUGUUUUGUCAACUUUUUUGUGCGAUUGGACAUGGAUGAGUAUGUUUUACGAUUGGAUAUUUUUCUUGCUUGGUUACUUGGAAGAAAUGUUAUAGUACCCUUCUCUGAUCGAAAGAAAUUUCUAGUAUCGGAAUAGUAUUUUUACCCUAGUAUUGUAGUAUUGUUGUAUGCUUUGGAGUUGAAGGUGCACAUUUUUAGAAUAAUGUAUGGGUUUGUCUGGACGCAUGCUUUCUUCUGGAAGGAAAGCAUUGAUGUAUGUGAAUGAAGGUGUGAAAGAAUUAACUAGUGGUCUUAGAAAUUUGUAUAAGAAAUGAUAUUGUUCAUUCUCUGUAAUUUUGGUGAAGAUCUAGACAAUGAUUUCAAUUCAAGGAUUUUGAAUUACUUUCAGGAGUGAUUAUUUUAUGUAGCUGAUAAAAGUGAAAUGUGUUUAAUGAGAAGUUAUAAUGAGGUCCAUCUGGGUUGUUUUGACUAGUAUCCAAAAUGGUGAUAGUGGGAAUUGGUGAAGUAGCUGGCCUUUCUUUGAUUUUCGAUGGAAUUUCAUGGUUCGUGCUGAUGUGGUAGAAAAAAUUCAUUAUUUCAUGGGUACACGAGUAUAUUGGUUCAUCUCUACAAAUGAAGUUGGCUUUCCAUAACAGUUGUAAAGAUAUUCUGCUGUCUGUAAUCAGUUUAAGAUAAAAGCUUAGUUGAGUUGAGUAUCUCCUUUCUUCGUAAAUGUCGUAUCUGAUGUGGUUUAUGCAUAAUAUUCAAAACCUUUUUUCCACCUGAGCAAACAUGUGAUUUACUCAAUAAUUUCUCAAGCUUCCAUCUGAGAUGCUAUAUUUUGCAGUGGUUAAUGGAUUUUGAUCAUAUUACAUUUUGCAGCUAACAGUUAAAGCACACGAUAACAGGUUGAGGUGAUGAACUGCAAAGAACUUCCAAAAGAGUUUGAUUGAGAAUUUAUUGUUGGGGCAGUGGGAUUGUUGCCUUGUACAUAUGGAUCAUGGUUGCAGUGUUGGUUUCCUUCUCUAGUUCUAGUAUAAUUCAAUGUCAAGUGUUACAGUUGCUUUGAGAAUGCUACUACCCUUUUCAUGUUAUACUAUUGUCUUGUUGGAACUGGCUUCUGGGGUUGUAUAAAUUCAUUUACAGCUUUACAUGUGGGUUUUACUCUUGUUAUUGUUUGCGCAUUAUCUCACUCUUCAUGACAGUUUCAACUUUUAUUCAUGGAGCACAUGCAAGGAGCUGUUAUAAUAUUGAGUGGGAUUGCA
rnacentral:misc_RNA from 1 species